rnacentral:piRNA from 1 species
GACAUGUGCUCUGCUUUCUCCCUCU